GCCUUUGUGGUGUAAAAGUAGCACACCCGGUGUGUAUUCGAGAGGCCCAGGUUCGAGUCCUGGUGAGGGCA
rnacentral:tRNA from 1 species